AAUAUAGGUACCAAUGUGGAGAGGGAGAAGGUAACACGUGCUUCUUGCCUUUAGGUGCUGCUAGAAGCUGGUGGAGAGCAGCUGCUCUCAUGGCAUUGGAGAACUGCUGUAGUGUGUGUUCAUUUACAGACACAAGAACUAUAUAUGCCCGUGGGACAGAGGUCCUGCUGAGGCUGGAAGCAGAUAGCUGUGAAGCCUGCAUUAUGACUGCCUGAGCUGAACUGCUUUCAUGGCAACACAGAUUUCCUCCUGACAUUUAACUCGGGCAGUAAGUGACAAACCGAAUAAACAUGCCUGUUUCACUGGGACA
rnacentral:lncRNA from 1 species